UACGUAGGGACCAAGCGUUGUUCGGAUUUACUGGGCGUAAAGGGCGCGAGUAGGCGGCAUAUUAAGUCAGCUGUGAAAUCUCCGAGCUUAACUCGGAACUGUCAGCUGAUACUGAUGUGCUAGAGUGCAGAAAGGGCAAUACAGAAUUCUUGGUGUAGCGGUGAAAUGCGUAGAUAUCAAGAGGAAUACCUGAGGCGAAGGCGGGUUGCUAGGCUGACACUGACGCUGGAGGCGCGGAAAGCCCAGGGGAGCAAACGGG
rnacentral:rRNA from 1 species